CAAGCCUGACUUCCAGAAGAGCAGAAACAACUUCUCCAAACAGGAGUAGGAAAACAAAGGUGUGUGGCAUACAACAAAAAUACUUAAAUGUAAACAGUGCAAUCAAUCUUUUGUGUAUAACACUGCAUGUGGGCAUAUUUUGUUUUUUUCUGACACUCCUAUCACUCCACUUCUCAGGUCGUCAUACAUCUCCCAAACACAUGGAGACCUCCUGCAGUAGGCCACAUAAUGUCCAAGAGCAUCCUGGGUUAAGCCUCCUUUGAAAGCAAUGACUGCCCUUAAAGUAAAUCUCUCUCCUUGGAGCAUCAGAUUUGAGGGAAACUCACUCAAAGGAAAUUCUAUGGAGUUGCUUCCCAGAGGGACACUGUGAUGGACUUUGGAUUGGCCUGAGGCAGGGGGACUCCGGAAGGUUAAGGCCUUCUUCCACUGCGGUCUGAAGAUGAGCGAUGCCAGAAGCCUGCAAUACAGCAACAGAAGUACAAACAAAUGUGGAGAUGUGGCUCUGUGCAUCAAUUUCGAGAGCACCAAACUUCAGCUGGACAGGUUUGAAUAUUCCACUCAGCAGUUCUGCCCUCUGUAUGUAGGCAUGUGCAUUCAGACCCUUUGUGCUGAUGGUUUUCACUAGCUGGAGGAGGUUGUUGGAGUCCUCACCACAAACAAAAUUUGCAAAGGUGACACUAUCACAGAAAGCACAGCAUAAGCAUUGACAAAAAGAAUCAAAUGCUGUGUUCAGCACAGAGAUUCUUGUACUUACAUUGGCCAGAAAUUCGAGUUUGUAACUGUAUCAACUUUUCCUCUACUAACUAAAUUUCCACAAGAGCAUCUUGAACAGAAGUGUCACCUCGUGGUGGGAGUGAAGUGUAUCAAAUGAUACCCCUUGUAAAUAAGUUCAAUCAGGUGAGAACAAAAACGCUGAAGUUACAUAAAGCUACAACUUGAUGGCGCUCGCGCACAAAACCAUUU